AUGGCGAUGCAGCAGGGCGGCGGCGAGGGGGAGACGCUGAUGCAGCGGUGCAAGCCGUACGUGGCGAUGAUCUCGCUGCAGUUCGGGUACGCCGGGAUGAACGUGAUCACCAAGGUGUCGCUGAACCACGGCAUGAGCCACUACGUGCUGGUGGUGUACCGCCACGCCUUCGCCACCCUCUCCAUCGCGCCCUUCGCGCUCUUCCUGGAGCGCGGCAAGGCCCGCCCGCGGAUGACCCCCCUCGUCCUCCUCAACAUCUUCCUCCUCGCCCUCAUGGGCCCCGUCAUCGACCAGAACUUCUACUACGCCGGCCUCAAGUACACCUCGCCCACCUUCUCCUGCGCCAUGAGCAACAUGCUCCCCGCCAUGACCUUCGUCAUGGCCGUCAUCUUCCGGAUGGAGAAGGUGGACCUCAAGAAGCCCAGGUGCAUGGCCAAGGUGGCCGGCACGCUCGUCACCGUGGCCGGCGCCAUGCUCAUGACGCUCUACAAGGGCCGCGCCGUGGAGAUGAUCUGGUCCAGGCACGCCCACCUCCCCGGCCCGCACCAGGACGCCGCCGCCGCCGCCAAGGACUGGUUCAAGGGCUCCAUAUUCCUCAUCAUCGCCACCCUCGCAUGGGCCUCCCUCUUCAUCCUCCAGGGCCCGACGCUGACGAGGUACAACGCGCCGCUGACCCUGACGACGCUCAUCUGCUUCGUGGGCACCCUGCAGGCCAUCGUGGUCACCUUGGCCAUGGAGCACACCACCGACGUCUGGAAGAUCGGCUUUGACAUGAACCUCCUCGCCGCAGCAUACGCCGGUAUCGUGACGUCGAGCAUUGCCUACUACGUGCAAGGGCUGGUGAUCCAGAGCAGGGGCCCCGUCUUCGCCUCGGCCUUCAGCCCGCUCAUGAUGAUCGUGGUGGCCAUCAUGGGCUCCUUCAUCCUCGCCGAGAACAUCUACCUCGGAGGGAUCAUCGGGUCCGUGCUGAUCGUGGCCGGGCUCUACUCGGUGCUCUGGGGGAAGCACAAGGAGGACGUGGAGAAGAAGGAGAUCGAGGCGACGGAGAUCCCCGUGGCGAUCAAGGGCGUGGAGGGCAACGGCAGGAUCAUGGACAUGGUGGAGCUGGACGAGGUGGAGCUGGAGAAGGCCCAGGCCAACGGCAAGGCGGUCACCAUCUCGGUGCCGGCCGCCGCCGGGGAAGCCGGCAUGCAGCGCGACGACGAGAACUGA
rnacentral:rRNA from 1 species